rnacentral:rRNA from 1 species
UACGAACUGUGCGAACGUUAUUCGGAAUCACUGGGCUUACAGGGUGCGUAGGCGGCUCAACAAGUCAGGUGUGAAAGCCCCCGGCUCAACCGGGGAACUGCGCUUGAAACUGUUAGGCUCGAGUCAGCUAGAGGUACACGGAACUUCCAGUGGAGCGGUGAAAUGUGUUGAUAUUGGAAGGAACACCGGAGGCGAAAGCGGUGUACUGGGGCUGGUCUGACGCUGAGGCA